GAGUUUGAUCCUGGCUCAGAACGAACGCUGGCGGCGUGGAUAAGACAUGCAAGUCGAACGGGAUAUCAUUUGUAGCAAUACAAGUGAUGUCUAGUGGCGUAAGGGUGCGUAACACGUGGGGAAUCUGCCGAGAAGUGGGGGAUAGCUCGCCGAAAGGCGAAUUAAUACCGCAUGUGGUUAGUGAAGACAUCUUCACGAUACCAAAGCCGGGGCAACCUGGCGCUUCUUGAUGACCCCGCGGCCUAUCAGCUAGUUGGUGAGGUAACGGCUCACCAAGGCUAUGACGGGUAGCUGGUCUGAGAGGACGACCAGCCACACUGGAACUGAGACACGGUCCAGACACCUACGGGUGGCAGCAGUCGAGAAUUUUUCUCAAUGGGGGAAACCCUGAAGGAGCGACGCCGCGUGGAGGAUGAAGGUCUUCGGAUUGUAAACUCCUGUCAUUUGGGAACAAUUGUUGGCGAUUAACUGUCGUCAGCUUGAUAGUACCAGAAGAGGAAGAGACGGCUAACUCUGUGCCAGCAGCCGCGGUAAUACAGAGGUCUCAAGCGUUGUUCGGAUUCAUUGGGCGUAAAGGGUGCGUAGGUGGCGAGGUAAGUCUGGUGUGAAAUCUCGGAGCUCAACUCCGAAACUGCACUGGAUACUGCUUUGCUCGAGUACUGGAGAGGAGAUUGGAAUUUACGGUGUAGCAGUGAAAUGCGUAGAUAUCGUAAGGAAGACCAGUGGCGAAGGCGAAUCUCUGGACAGUUACUGACACUGAGGCACGAAGGCCAGGGGAGCAAACGGGAUUAGAUACCCCGGUAGUCCUGGCAGUAAACGGUGCGCGUUUGGUGUGGGAGGAUUCGACCCCUUCUGUGCCGGAGCUAACGCGUUAAACGCGCCGCCUGGGGAGUACGGUCGCAAGAUUAAAACUCAAAGAAAUUGACGGGGGCCCGCACAAGCGGUGGAGUAUGUGGCUUAAUUCGAUGCAACGCGAAGAACCUUACCUAGCCUUGACAUGCAUCUCUAAGUCGGUGAAAGCCGGCGACUGUAGCAAUACAGAAU
rnacentral:rRNA from 1 species